rnacentral:rRNA from 1 species
UGCAGUCGAGCGGUAGAGAGGUGCUUGCACCUCUUGAGAGCGGCGGACGGGUGAGUAAUGCCUAGGAAUCUGCCUGGUAGUGGGGGAUAACGCUCGGAAACGGACGCUAAUACCGCAUACGUCCUACGGGAGAAAGCAGGGGACCUUCGGGCCUUGCGCUAUCAGAUGAGCCUAGGUCGGAUUAGCUAGUUGGUGAGGUAAUGGCUCACCAAGGCGACGAUCCGUAACUGGUCUGAGAGGAUGAUCAGUCACACUGGAACUGAGACACGGUCCAGACUCCUACGGGAGGCAGCAGUGGGGAAUAUUGGACAAUGGGCGAAAGCCUGAUCCAGCCAUGCCGCGUGUGUGAAGAAGGUCUUCGGAUUGUAAAGCACUUUAAGUUGGGAGGAAGGGCCAUUACCUAAUACGUGAUGGUUUUGACGUUACCGACAGAAUAAGCACCGGCUAACUCUGUGCCAGCAGCCGCGGUAAUACAGAGGGUGCAAGCGUUAAUCGGAAUUACUGGGCGUAAAGCGCGCGUAGGUGGUUCGUUAAGUUGGAUGUGAAAUCCCCGGGCUCAACCUGGGAACUGCAUUCAAAACUGUCGAGCUAGAGUAUGGUAGAGGGUGGUGGAAUUUCCUGUGUAGCGGUGAAAUGCGUAGAUAUAGGAAGGAACA